AGUCCUGAUUUCAGAGGUCAUGACCCGGGCUGUCUACCUGCCUCAGAGAGUCUCAGAGGAUCAUGCCGGAGGAAGUGGCUGACCACACAGGGAUUAGCGAAGUCUGGGGGUUGGGUGCAGAACGAGGGGCUGCAAUUCAGCCUCAGAGGUAACAACCCCACCUCAGCUCUGGCUUUUUAUAACCCUUCCGUGAAGUGGCUGGGACAGAAGGAAUUGUCUGAGUCCAUGUACAGGGAGCAGCUCUGGAUGGUGGCUCAGCCAUCCCUACCAGAGCUUCUCGGCUUUGCCCAGGAGGAGGACUGAGGAUGCCCAGGGCCAAAGGCCCCCACAGAGAUCACCAUGUGUGAGCCCACAAUAACUCGUCUCAUAGCAGGGCAAGAGGGGUGACAAAUCCAUGGGGGGUGAAGCAACCUAAAGCAACAAAAUGGUGCCCUAGUCUCCACGGAUCAGAGACUGACCUGUCAAGCAUUGGAGAGGAAUAGGACAUCCAAUUCAUCCCGGCAAGGGAGUCCCUAAUAAGGGAGAUGCAUCCAGGAUAUAAUUUAAAACUUUGGAUAUAAGAUAGUAUGUCUCACUUCCAAGUUGCUGAUCUCUCUUUCAUGUUUGCCAUAAUUUGGCCUAAACUGCUGCUUCAUCCUGCUGUUCAUCUUUCCCCCCCGACGUGGGACAGAUCACUCAAAGAAAGUGAGCUGAGAUGCUUCUUUCAAUCACCACCUGGGAAAGAGCCUUCCCAACACUGAGAGAUUUAUACUUUAAAAAGUAAGACCUUUUCAAUCAAGAUAUUGAUCAUCAAUGCUUUUAUGAGGAAUGCCUUGAUCAUAAAGAGGGAAAUAACGUUUUCUCUACAAAAGCAGUUCUCUAAAUCUUCCUGGCCUUAAAGAGGGUGUUUGUAACUUGGAUAAGACAUCCUGUUCUUAAACAAAAGACUUGUAAUUGAUCAAAAAUUUCACAAAGGACUAGAUGCUUUGAAAGCAGUAAUGUCCUGGACAGGUAAACUAAUAAUAACAAACUCUCUGGACUUGGAAACAACUAUUGUACCGAGCAGAAUCCCAUUCUGGAGUUUCAACAAUUGACAGUUACACCCAAUUCACAGCACCUGGAAUGAUGCUGCUGCAGCCACCCUGAGAUGAUGACAUCAUCAGUCCUCACCUGAAGUAAAUUAAAAGGACUUGUCAUGAUAAAUGAUACCAACUUUGCUUUAAAUGCUUUUGUCUUAACUGUGCCAACCUGAUCUAUAGCUCUUGCUUUUUCUUUUAAACAAAUAAAAUGGGGGAAGAUGUA